rnacentral:rRNA from 1 species
UCGAGAAUUUUUCUCAAUGAGCGAAAGCUUGAAGGAGCGACGCCGCGUGGGGGAUGAAGGGCUUCGGCUCGUAAACCCCUGUCAUUUGUGAACAAACCCUUAUAUUUAAUAGAUAUAAGGUUGAUAGUAGCGAAAGAGGAAGGGACGGCUAACUCUGUGCCAGCAGCCGCGGUAAUACAGAGGUCCCAAGCGUUGUUCGGAAUCACUGGGCGUAAAGGGUGCGUAGGUGGUCAUUCAAGUUUGAUGUGAAAUCUCCGGGCUUAACUCGGAAAGUGCAUUAAAAACUGAGUGGCUGGAGGGUUGGAGGGGAGACUGGAAUUCUCGGUGUAGCAGUGAAAUGCGUAGAUAUCGAGAGGAACACCAGUGGCGAAGGCGAGUCUCUGGACAACACCUGACACUGAGGCACGAAAGCUAGGGGAGCAAACA